UUCACUCUGCUCCGCCUUCUGCUGGAC
rnacentral:piRNA from 1 species